UAUAACUCCGUUUUUUGUAGUUAAAGUAUAUAUAUAUAUAUAUAUAUAUUUUUUUUUUUUUUAGCUUCUAUACCGUACUAUACCUUUCUUUACUCCACUUUUCUUUGUUUUUUUUUCAAUUUCACCAGUUUUGUAAUUAUAUAAAACACAGAUUUUAAUGAAUACGUACUAUAUCAAGUAAACUCCUAAAAGUUGAAAAAACUUGAGAUUUAUAUGUAUAUAGAUACUACCUGCUUUUUUUACAUAUAUUUACAUUUCUAACAUCUUUUGUUGGUUAAAAUGUUAAGUAUUCAAACUGCUCAUAGCGGUAACCAUAUAAAUUUCAUAGUGAAGGGAAAAUUUAUAAAACAUAAUAAAAAUGAUUUUCUCAUAGCAGCAAAGGAUAGUUACUUAGAGUUACUAACACUUGAUUAUAAACAAACACUAUAUGUACAGAAUACAUUUUUAAAAAUUAUAUUUUUACAAGUAUAUAAAAGUAAAAUAAACGAUAAAUUUAUUAUUGUUGAUGAGAAAUUAAAUGUACGAUGUUUAGAA
rnacentral:lncRNA from 1 species